rnacentral:rRNA from 1 species
AGCCACACUCUAGCUCAACCACCCAAUUAAUCCAAACAAUAAAAACCCACUCCCCACCUAAACUAAAACAUUCCCCCAAACUUAGUAUAGGCGAUAGAAAAGAACUUAUGACGCCAUAGAGAUUCGUACCGUAAGGGAAAGAUGAAAUAAUAAUGAAAAUUCCAAGCAGCAAACAGCAAAGAUUAACCCUUAUACCUCUUGCAUCAUGGUUUAGCAAGAACAACCAAGCGAAACGAAUUUAAGCUUGCCUCCCCGAAACCCACGCGAGCUACUUACAAGCAGCUAUCCGUGAGCGAACCCGUCUCUGUAGCAAAAGAGUGGGAUGACUUGUUAGUAGAGGUGAAAAUCCAACCGAGCUGGGUGAUAGCUGGUUGCCUGCAAAAUGAAUAUUAGUUCUCCCUUGACCCCUCCCUGCCCGGACACCCACUAAAACCCUAAUGUGAUGGCCAAGAGAAAAUUAAAGGAGGUACAGCUCCUUUAAAACGGGACACAACCCAUACUAGCGGAUAACCCCCUCCAUUCCCCCCUGUUGGCCUUCAAGCAGCCACCAACAAAGAGUGCGUCAAAGCUCAUCUCAAAAAAUCUUCACACAAUAUGACUCCCUUCCCCCAUAGCAGGCCAAUCUAUGAUAAUAGAAGAAUUAAUGCUAGAAUGAGUAACUAGGGGCCUGCCCCUCUUAAGCGCAAACUUACAUCACCAUUAUUAACAGACACCAAUAUUUAAACUCCAACAAGACUGAAUAUUCUACCAUCACUGUUAAUCCAACUCAGGAGCGCCUACUAGAAAGAUUUAAAUCUGUAAAAGGAACUAGGCAAACCCAAGGCCCGACUGUUUACCAAAAACAUAGCCUUUAGCAAACCAAGUAUUAAAGGUGAUGCCUGCCCAGUGACACUACGUUCAACGGCCGCGGUAUCCUAACCGUGCGAAGGUAGCGCAAUCAAUUGUCUCAUAAAUCGAGACUUGUAUGAAUGGCUAAACGAGGUCUUAACUGUCUCUUACAGAUAAUCAGUGAAAUUGAUCUUCUCGUGCAAAAGCGAGAAUAACGACAUAAGACGAGAAGACCCUGUGGAACUUAAAAAUCAAUAGCCACAACUCACCAAACUAAACCCUACUAAGGCUCACUAGAUUAAGAAUACUGGCCUAUAUUUUUCGGUUGGGGCGACCUUGGAGAAAAAACUAACCUCCAAAAAUAAGACCACACCUCUUAACCAAGAGCAACCCCUCAACGUGCAAAAAGCAACCUGACCCAAUACAAUUGACCAAUGGACCAAGCUACCCCAGGGAUAACAGCGCAAUCUCCUUCAAGAGCCCAUAUCGACAAGGAGGUUUACGACCUCGAUGUUGGAUCAGGACAUCCUAAUGGUGCAGCCGCUAUUAAGGGUUCGUUUGUUCAACGAUUAACAGUCCUACGUGAUCUGAGUUCAGACCGGAGCAAUCCAGGUCGGUUUCUAUUCUAUGACUAGCCCUCCCUAGUAGGAAAGGACCGGGAGAUAGGGGCCUAAGCCGUAAGCAAGCCCCCUCCAUAAAUAAUGCACUCAACUAAAUUAUUAAAGGAUCACCUAAUCAUAAUUCCUAGAAAAGGAAC